rnacentral:rRNA from 1 species
CAGGCUUAACACAUGCAAGUCGAGGGGCAGCAUGGUCUUAGCUUGCUAAGGCCGAUGGCGACCGGUGCACGGGUGAGUAACACGUAUCCAACCUGCCGUCUACUCUUGGACAGCCUUCUGAAAGGAAGAUUAAUACAAGAUGGCAUCAUGAGUCCGCAUGUUCACAUGAUUAAAGGUAUUCCGGUAGACGAUGGGGAUGCGUUCCAUUAGAUAGUAGGCGGGGUAACGGCCCACCUAGUCUUCGAUGGAUAGGGGUUCUGAGAGGAAGGUCCCCCACAUUGGAACUGAGACACGGUCCAAACUCCUACGGGAGGCAGCAGUGAGGAAUAUUGGUCAAUGGGCGAGAGCCUGAACCAGCCAAGUAGCGUGAAAGAUGACUGCCCUAUGGGUUGUAAACUUCUUUUAUAAAGGAAUAAAGUCGGGUAUGGAUACCCGUUUGCAUGUACUUUAUGAAUAAGGAUCGGCUAACUCCGUGCCAGCAGCCGCGGUAAUACGGAGGAUCCGAGCGUUAUCCGGAUUUAUUGGGUUUAAAGGGAGCGUAGAUGGAUGUUUAAGUCAGUUGUGAAAGUUUGCGGCUCAACCGUAAAAUUGCAGUUGAUACUGGAUAUCUUGAGUGCAGUUGAGGCAGGCGGAAUUCGUGGUGUAGCGGUGAAAUGCUUAGAUAUCACGAAGAACUCCGAUUGCGAAGGCAGCCUGCUAAGCUGCAACUGACAUUGAGGCUCGAAAGUGUGGGUAUCAAACAGGAUUAGAUACCCUGGUAGUCCACACGGUAAACGAUGAAUACUCGCUGUUUGCGAUAUACAGCAAGCGGCCAAGCGAAAGCGUUAAGUAUUCCACCUGGGGAGUACGCCGGCAACGGUGAAACUCAAAGGAAUUGACGGGGGCCCGCACAAGCGGAGGAACAUGUGGUUUAAUUCGAUGAUACGCGAGGAACCUUACCCGGGCUUAAAUUGCAGAUGAAUUACGGUGAAAGCCGUAAGCCGCAAGGCAUCUGUGAAGGUGCUGCAUGGUUGUCGUCAGCUCGUGCCGUGAGGUGUCGGCUUAAGUGCCAUAACGAGCGCAACCCUUGUUGUCAGUUACUAACAGGUUCCGCUGAGGACUCUGACAAGACUGCCAUCGUAAGAUGUGAGGAAGGUGGGGAUGACGUCAAAUCAGCACGGCCCUUACGUCCGGGGCUACACACGUGUUACAAUGGGGGGUACAGAGGGCCGCUACCACGCGAGUGGAUGCCAAUCCCAAAAACCUCUCUCAGUUCGGACUGGAGUCUGCAACCCGACUCCACGAAGCUGGAUUCGCUAGUAAUCGCGCAUCAGCCACGGCGCGGUGAAUACGUUCCCGGGCCUUGUACACACCGCCCGUCAAGCCAUGGGAGCCGGGGGUACCUGAAGUGCGUAACCGCGAGGAGCGCCCUAGGGUAAAACUGGUGACUGGGGCUAAGUC